GAAAGGCAAAAAGGUGUAUAGGAUAUACCUGCCACGUGAGGAUCAAGGGUGGCAUGACUUGUGGAGAGAGAUAGAUUGUCACGAGAAAUGGCGGAGUUAAGUUGGUAAAGACGUGCACUUAGUGAGCAAUAAUGUUCUGAAUUUGUGAUGUGCUUAAGUCAUCGACAGAAGCAGCGGAAUUAGAUGCCAGUAAGCAGUCGUCGAC
rnacentral:lncRNA from 1 species